CUCGUAGGAAUCUACCUUGUAGUGGGGGAUAACCUGGGGAAACUCGGGCUAAUACCGCAUAAUCUCUUUGGAGCAAAGCGGGGGAUCUUCGGACCUCGUGCUAUAAGAUGAGCCUACGUCGGAUUAGCUUGUUGGUGGGGUAAUGGCCUACCAAGGCGACGAUCCGUAGCUGGUCUGAGAGGACGAUCAGCCACACUGGGACUGAGACACGGCCCAGACUCCUACGGGAGGCAGCAGUGGGGAAUAUUGGACAAUGGGGGAAACCCUGAUCCAGCAAUGCCGCGUGUGUGAAGAAGGCCUUCGGGUUGUAAAGCACUUUCGGUGGGGAAGAAAUUCUCAAGGGUAAUAUCCUUGGGCGUUGACGUUACCCACAGAAGAAGCACUGGCUAACUCUGUGCCAGCAGCCGCGGUAAUACAGAGAGUGCAAGCGUUAAUCGGAAUCACUGGGCGUAAAGCGCGCGUAGGUGGAUAUUUAAGUCGGAUGUGAAAGCCCUGGGCUUAACCUGGGAAUUGCACCCGAUACUGGGUAUCUUGAGUAUGGUAGAGGGAAGUGGAAUUUCCGGUGUAGCGGUGAAAUGCGUAGAUAUCGGAAAGAACACCAGUGGCGAAGGCGACUUCCUGGACCAAUACUGACACUGAGGCGCGAAAGCGUGGGGAGCAAACAGGAUUAGAGACCCUGGUAGUCCACGCCGUCAACGAUGAGAA
rnacentral:rRNA from 1 species